AGCUUUUCCAUGCAAUCAACAUUAGGGUUUUAAACCUUAAAUUGAAUUUUUCCUUUAGGCAGCAUUAGGGUUUUAAACCCUAAACUGAACUUUUUUUCCAUUCAGCCAGCAUUAGGGUUUUAAACCCUAAACUGAGCUUUUCCAUGCAAUCAGCAUUAGGUUUUUAAACCCUAAACUGAAUUUUUCCUUUAGUCAGCAUUAGGGUUUUAAACCCUAAACUGAACUUUUUUCCAUUCAGCCAGCAUUAGGGUUUUAAACCCUAAACUGAGCUUUUCCAUGCAAUCAGCAUUAGGGUUUUAAACCCUAAACUGAACUUUUUUCCAUUCAGCCAGCAUUAGGGUUUUAAACCCUAAACUGAGCUUUUCCAUGCAGUCAGCAUUAGGGUUUUAAACCCU
rnacentral:lncRNA from 1 species